rnacentral:rRNA from 1 species
CGACAACAUUGAAUCUUCGGAGGAUUUGUUGGGCGUCGAGCGGCGGACGGGUGAGUAAUGCCUAGGAAAUUGCCUUGAUGUGGGGGAUAACCAUUGGAAACGAUGGCUAAUACCGCAUAAUGCCUACGGGCCAAAGAGGGGGAUCUUCGGACCUCUCGCGUCAAGAUAUGCCUAGGUGGGAUUAGCUAGUUGGUGAGGUAAUGGCUCACCAAGGCGACGAUCCCUAGCUGGUCUGAGAGGAUGAUCAGCCACACUGGAACUGAGACACGGUCCAGACUCCUACGGGAGGCAGCAGUGGGGAAUAUUGCACAAUGGGCGAAAGCCUGAUGCAGCCAUGCCGCGUGUAUGAAGAAGGCCUUCGGGUUGUAAAGUACUUUCAGUUGUGAGGAAGGGGGUAGCGUUAAUAGCGCUAUCUCUUGACGUUAGCAACAGAAGAAGCACCGGCUAACUCCGUGCCAGCAGCCGCGGUAAUACGGAGGGUGCGAGCGUUAAUCGGAAUUACUGGGCGUAAAGCGCAUGCAGGUGGUUCAUUAAGUCAGAUGUGAAAGCCCGGGGCUCAACCUCGGAACUGCAUUUGAAACUGGUGAACUAGAGUGCUGUAGAGGGGGGUAGAAUUUCAGGUGUAGCGGUGAAAUGCGUAGAGAUCUGAAGGAAUACCAGUG